rnacentral:rRNA from 1 species
UACGUAGGGCGCAAGCGUUGUCCGGAAUUAUUGGGCGUAAAGAGCUCGUAGGCGGUCUGUCGCGUCUGUUGUGAAAACUCGAGGCUCAACCUCGGGCUUGCAGUGGAUACGGGCAGACUAGAGUGCGGUAGGGGAGACUGGAAUUCCUGGUGUAGCGGUGGAAUGCGCAGAUAUCAGGAGGAACACCGAUGGCGAAGGCAGGUCUCUGGGCCGCAACUGACGCUGAGGAGCGAAAGCGUGGGGAGCAAACAGG